CGGAGGAUCCAAGCGUUAUCCGGAUUUAUUGGGUUUAAAGGGUGCGUAGGCGGUUUAUUAAGUCAGUGGUGAAAGCCCGGAGCUCAACUUCGGAACUGCCAUUGAUACUGAUAGACUUGAGUACAGAUGAAGUGGGCGGAAUGUGACAAGUAGCGGUGAAAUGCUUAGAUAUGUCAUGGAACACCGAUUGCGAAGGCAGCUCACUAAAGUGUAACUGACGCUGAGGCACGAAAGCGUGGGGAUCAAACAGGAUUAGAUACCCUGGUAGUCCACGCCCUAAACGAUGAUUACUCGCUGUUAGCGAUAUACUGUUAGCGGCUAAGCGAAAGCGUUAAGUAAUCCACCUGGGGAGUACGGUCGCAAGAUUG
rnacentral:rRNA from 1 species